ACUCAAUGAAAUCUUCAAUGGUGCCGACAUCCUUGUCCUUCUUGAUCUGGCAGAAGAUGGGCAAGAAUUCAUCAGCCUUGAUCUUCUUCUCUCCUGUAAGAUGAGAAUCGUGAAAUGAAACAUCGACAACCAAACAUCACCUCCUUCUGUACGUCUCUAGAGUCACACACUUCCUUAACUGCCAUCGCAUAUUUGGGUCAAUGCUAAUUUUUGCUCUCCGUCUUAACACGCGCAAUUUCAUGAGCAAUGCAAUAACUUGCGCUACGAUAUCGUCGUAAGAUUAUACGCUACGUAAUAGGUAAAAUCAUUUGAAAUGUUGGUGGACAAAAUCAUGCAGAAAUGGAGUCUGAAGGUGAUAGCUUCGACCUAUCAAAAACGUCCAAAAAAAGAGGAAAACAAACGUGAAAACCGAUAUCGGAUGCUAGACGCAAGAAAAAAUUGGAAGGCAAAGUUUUCUUUUUUUUUUCAAUCUCCCCCGCCGUUCGGUGAGCCGGCGAUUUAAUUUUAGUUCCAGCUCGUGGCGUCGUCGCCGCGGAGUCGAAUGGACAAGUUGAGCUACUGCGGAAGCUUUUUGGCAACGCCUCUGUCGGGAGUUCACAUACUGGAAAACUAGGCGGCGGGCGGGUGGAACGUCGGGAGGAGGGAACAGACGUAAACGGAGGCUUUUUCGUGCUCAGCGUACGGGAUACGGGACAAAGAUAGGUACCACUACCGCCACGUUCUUGUGUAUCUUCGACCCAUGGUUGGACUUGUCCUUCUUUCCCUGCUUGCCUCUAGCUGCUCCAAUGUCUAGCAACAACAAAAUUCUCUUAACAUCGUCUAUUUUAGCCUGCGUGUACGGAGCCGCCGAGCCGGACAUUCAAGCGGUGUGUGUUACGCCAGUACCACAUCGGGAACGAUCAGCGUGUUGGCAUGCCUUCAAAUCAGCAACGGGUUCGACAGAGACAAACCAACUCUUUUCUCUGAAGUUUUGCGAUUAAACCAAUUCUAAUGAUUCAUAAGGAUGAAUCUGACUCUCCUGGGCAAAAUUCUGUGGUUCUCUCUUAUGUGCUUCAUACCGAUUCAUUCCAAAUAUAACCUGGGCAGAACAAUUUCCAAUCGCAGCCACACAUUAUGCAAGGGAAUUUGGGACGUUGUGUUUUGAGAGCCGAGAAAUGGAGAAACCAAUAGUUUCCAGACAAUUCC